GCCAGCAUGGUGUAGUGGUUUGAUCACUAGACUAUGACUCCUAAGAACAGGGUUUGAAUCCCUGCUCGGCCA